AAUUCGAGAAGAAAAAAUGAAUACAUAGAUCUUAACAGCAAGAACAGUAGUGAAUAGGUUUGUUGUUGAAUAUUUGAUAAUUCAGAGAAUUAGCCCGGAGAAUUAGUCCUGUCAAAUAGGCCAAAAUAGCAUGACAAAUGGUGAAGGAAUGUUCGCAUCGAUCGGAUUCCUCUAUUCUUGGUAGCCCUUAGCUCCGUCGCCGCGCCGGAUCGGAUCAGCGGAGCGCGCGCCGUAGAAGCGUAAACGACCGGUAUAGUGUCUUGCGUGCAGAAUAAUAAUCGUACACACUGCACUGUCCGAGAAGUCGAUCGUCGGAGACUUCGCUCUUGGAAAAAACAGCUUAACUUUGUCUCUGAUUCUGAAAUAUAUAUGCACACUUAGAACCUGGCUGUAACGAAGUUAGAUCUAAAGAUUCUUUUCGGAGUCAUCUAAUCACAACUGGACAUUCUCUACCACUACCAGUUCCGUUUUUGGGGUGGAUUCCACUACCAAUUCCCGUGUACGAAAUUUCGGGACUUGCUCACCGGCCCUUUGCGUGGCAAGGGGGUGCAGCGAUUGUUAUCAACGCAGAUUGUGUCAAGAUUGAGUUUGGUCUUGGAGCUGAAUGAGGCAGUCUGCAUAAUUUGAAGUUAACAAAACGACAUUGCCAAGCCGGCAUUUAAUCUCCUGUUCACAUGACUCAUAGACUUUUCUACCAACUUGGAUACUGCAUAUCGUUUUAAUUGGAAUAUCAUUCAUUAAUUUACGGAUCUUGUAAAGCGACUGGAUUAGCACUGAAUCAGAGACGGGGGAUUAGUUGGAACGUUAACGCAAGCACAAGACUAUUCUUCAAUUGGUGAUCCAAACACUCCGAGGUUGAAGGAAGAGGAGCUUUUCACCAAGUUCUAAGAGGUAAGAAUUACACGUUGUUGUUCUUGUUGUUCAAAGAGGAGAUGAAAGUCAAGAGCAGGUGAUUGGAAGGGAGGAGGUGAUAAUGUUUGGUUAAUAUGGCAUUCAUGAACUAAGUGGAGGUGACGUAGCUGAGUGGUCUAAGGUGCCUGACCUUACGAUAUGAAGUUCUGGCACCUUUUGGCCGAGAGUUGAGGUAUUUUAUCUUCAUGGCUCUUUUUGUUGUCAAAUUUAAAAUAACAUGGUUUUCAGCACAUAGUUCUUGAAUUUGAAAAACUCUGAAUUAUCUUAUACUUUGCCUGCAAGUCGUAGUAAAAGUUUAAAGUUUCAUACAAUUUGUAUUUAUAUACAUUGUGACAUCAUUUAGAGAUCUCAUGAAGAAGGGAGAAGUGACGUCUCAAGGAAGCAGAUCCUUUUCGGUUAUCCCAAGAUUUAGUUUUCUGCAAGGGAAAUAAAUUAUCAAUGUUUAAAGACUAUUACAGUUAUUCAAACAUGGUAGGAUCCAUGAUUUAAACAAGUACAGCGUCAAUCUGAUUCGUUCUUCAAGUUGUCUGGAAGUUGUAGCUGGCUGCUGGAAAUCUUGAAGGAGUUGUUCAUGGAAGACUCAUUGUGAAUGGUUUAUUGUUCAGAAUAUUAAGUGUGUAGCACAGUUUUGAGGCGAUAUCAGAAGCCUAGCAGGUUGCAUAUUUCAGCUUGGAUUAUGUAAAUCCACUUCUUUAUUUUGGAUCUGUUAGCCACCUGAAAGUCUUGCUUGAAAUACAAAUAAUUAUACUUUCUCAUACAGCGCUGGCACACUACUUUAUCAGAAGCCUCUAAGUACUUAGCAAUAAUGCAGCAUAAUUACCCAGGCUUAUUCCAUUUCCAUCCCUUAUUAAGGGUUUUCAUAUCCAUUUGUAUUCUCUUGUGGGAAAUGAUGCCUUAAUAAGCCAGUUUACAGAGCUUUCUUAAACCACUUUUACAUUGUGUUUUGGAAUUAGCUUUAUGCUAUCUCCCUGUCUUGACAAUGGUAAGGCUUUGUUGGCUGAGCCAGAGCUCUUCCGUCUGAAAGGGGUAAAAUUGAUUAAAAUUUAUGGCAGCAGGUAUUGAUGGGGAGGGGUAUUUUAAGAAUACAAAGUGAUUUCUAGCGUUGUCCCCUCCCUCUCUCUACAUUUUCCCACCUACAUUAAGCAUAAUAAUAACAACAACAGAAAAGGAUUGUUAUUCUUAGGGGGGUCUCUCUCGCUUUCUAAAAAAAGAAAUAACAAUCUCUUCGAUCGAUCAAGAAACGCAGGUAGAGGAAAGCCUGAUAACUUUGUCACCCUGUCUAUUAAGGUUGUCCAGUAAUCCAAAAUUAAUUGACUUGAGAUGGCCUCUUUUGGACUCUGAUGGUUAUAUUGGAAAGCGGUACAGAUCUAAUGAAUUGGUUGACAUAUCUGUAUAAUGAGAGCUUUCGAGAUGCUGAGAACCCAGGUUACAGACCAUAGGAGAACUUAAGUGCACAGUAUUUGUCUCAGGCUACGUCAGCAUUUCAUGGUUAAAACUCAGAUUUGAGACCGCGAUUGUAUGGUAAAAAUGGUCACUUGAGCAACGCUAACAUGCCCAUUAGGAAAAAGGAAAUCAUCACUUCAUCACUGUCAUAACUGUACAAUGUACAUAGCUAAUAUCAAGUGUUGGGGAAUAAAUGCCUUUAGCUUGCUUUGUCUUGAUCAAGGAGUAUAAGAUUGAUGAAAGCUCCUUGACUUAAUUAAGUCAAGAAAGGGGAAUAACCAUGAAUUCAUUCAUUAUAUUUAAAAUAAAAAAAAACUGAGGCAAUUUAUAAUUUUUCAUGCCAGCUUUUGCAAUCUAUUUUUGUUCUGCCCACCUGGGACUUGUCAAAAAUCUUUAGGAGCUUUCAGGCUUCUUACUGCAUAUGAGGGAAACCUGAAGGAUGCCUUACAGACUAAGCUAGGCAUCAACAAUCUAUCUUCAGACUUCGCUGUGAAAAAAAAUACCCAGCUUCUCUGUAGCCUUGUUGACAUUGUUUCAAGUCGAGCUAUCGUAGCCUCGGAGGAAUCGAUAAAGAAAAACAUCAGGUUGGUUGAUGUGUCUUCCUCCGAACGCCAAACAUCUAACGAUUAUUGAUCUGUAAAACUAAACGAGCUCACACAUUUGUUCUAAUUUUUGUUUUACACUGCCCACCUGGCUCUGUACCUGUACUCCAUUCUCUCUCUCUCUCUCUCUCGAACUCCUUUUCCUGUUUUUUCACAUCUCUCAUUUUUUCUUUCAUUCCUUUUCUUGAUGUCUGUUGCUCUGUAUUGAGACCUUCACCGAGAUACAUUCUCCCAUCCUCACAUAUUUUGGCGACCUCUCUAUCUCCAUCUCUUUCUUUCUACUCUUCCAUCUUCUUGUGUCACUUGUGUUUUGGUCUGUUUCUUUCUCCUGAUGUGCACUUGUGCAUUUUUGGCUCUCUCAAUUUUUUUUGUGGAAGAGAUGAAAUGUUAAAAUCGGCUUCAAGCCCUCGGCUUCUGAAAAGAUGGGACACCAUCCAUUCAGUGAGAUGUCAAAUGGGGAUGCCAAGCAGGUGCUUGUACACCUUGAUGAAUGGCUGUUCUAACCUGGAUUUACCGAUGAGCGAGAAAUAUAGAAGAAUAGAUUAACGAAGUAUAACGUCAUUCAAAAGGGAUAUUGCAUUCAUCAUGUCUUAUUUUUCAUUUCUUGCAGUAGGCAUGAUGAUAAACAUUAUAUCUGCAGCCAAAAUUUGGUAGAAUUCUGUUCAACAGGGCUCAUGUUAUAGACCACAUGAAUACUCAAUUAGCCCCACUGAAGUCAAUGCAGUAAUUGCACGGUUAUAAAUGUUAAGAAUAAGGCUGUGGAUGUUUUUCAGGCUUGUCUGAGAUAUGAAAUGAAAACAAAAUGAUAAAAAAUAAGAAAAAAAAAGAAGACAAAAGUGUGACAUUAUCACUUUCAUAUUUGGAAGUGGUGCAUUUAAGAAGAGACAGCAAAAACCCUUUUCAUGAUUAAAUCCCCCCAACAAUAUGGAAUUUCAUACGCUUUGUAUGUAAAAUUAUAUUGAUAGUACAAGUUUAGAUGGAGGAAUUCAACCCCCCCACAUGGACACUGUUAUGUCAGUUUAUGUUUUCCUUUCGACAAUCAAGACCUAUUGAACGCCCAGUAUACAGUAAAACCAAGUGAAUAUUCAUGCGCUGUUGAUGUAUUUCACAGAGUGCUUCAGCAGAACCCCAUGUAUACUCAUGAUGGUCCAGCAGUAUUUGAUUCCUGCCACCAUUCAGCAACCAUAGACCCACCAACCUAACCUGCAGUGUCUGCUUGAGUGAAGUCGAAUAUUCCAUUAUUGAAUAACCAAGGUAAUUCGGUCGACCUGACAAUUGAGGCUCUGUGCAAAUGUUUGUGAUGUGACGAGGCCAUCAUUUCCCCCCCCUCUCUUGUCUAUUCACCCGGCUGCCCUGCGCCUAAUAUGGGCAAUUAUGCGGCUUGUCGAAAGGGUGCAGUAUUGAUCUGAAUCCAAGGUCGUCAAGAUCUGUUAUAGCUGAAUAGUCCCAUGUUCUUGUCACUGCCUCUUAAUCCGGUAUAGCUCGUAUAAUUCCCCUUUCAUUCACAAGACAACUUGCACAAUUAAAUGCUUUCACGAUGGUUUUAAACUUUUUUCCAGCAAGGCAACAUGGGAGGUGCGUAUUCCUAUGAAUACUUGUGAGUCGGUCGUCUUCAGUCGCUCGCUAGAUAUCUUACUAUCCUUCAGUCCGGUUAUUUGUCCAAAUGCAGACACAGGCCAAACAGGAUCAGGGUCCUGGGGGGUGUUUCAUAAAGCUGUUCGUAAAGUUACGCACAACCUUACACACGACUGGAAUAUGUUCUUAGGUCCUACAUUAAAUUACAUAGGGAUAUCACUCAGCGCAAGAAAGGACCACCAGUCAUACGUAAAGUCAUUCGUAUCUUAUGAACAGCUUUAUUAAACACCCGCCUCUUUGGAUUAAAUUACAUGAUUCUGAAGAUUAGACUAGGUCUACUGUGCCACUGCCUCCUGCAUGUUCUCGAAUGAUCCAGAGUCGUUUCCGUAUCAAUCUCCAAUGACUUCUGUGCUCACAUACUAAACAUAUUUUGGCAGAUCUAUUAGAUUCUGUAGCUGCCCAGAAAUAGGAAAAAAGGUACACCUAUGAGAAAUUACCGAAGAUAAACCAAAGAAUAACCAUCAAGGUGUUUCGUGAUACAGCAUCCUUCAGAACCUUACCACUAAUGGACCUAUUUAGGGUUAUUAUGCUGUAAAUACUUAUCAAUCAAUAACCUGUGAGGUAAUACCAAGAAAUAAUGCAUUCUGAAAUUUAGUGAUUGAUGUGAAUAGUUGUGGAAUUAAUUCAUUGCUAGAUAAAAAAUCAAGUGGUUUAACUCGAAUUAAUUUCGAAGAAGCUAUUAACUGACCUUUUGAAUAAGCGGCUAGCUUGCGUUUUCAGCAACUUAAGUCACGUAUCGUGAUUUAAACAAAAAGUAUCCAAGGGUUUAUGUGUAAUUGUGUAUGUGUUCAGAAUCAUCUUUGAAUAAAGAGGGAAAAAAUUGGUUCAAACGUAUUGUCAAUGACUCAUUUUUCAUUUGUACACCGUUUAUCCCUUCAGCCGAACUCUUUGCUCAGAAAACAAAAUUGUUCAGAGAAAAGAUCAUGAUUUAUUUCUUUAUUUAUUGUGGUCAGAAUGAAAUGCCGAUCAAUUUGGGUAAAAUAAAAGACAUUUUUCAUGUGAUUCUCAAAUCUUAAUUUUCAAAGAAUAGAUUGUUAAAUUAAGUGAAUGUGGUCAUAAAAAUGCCCACUCAUCAAGAAAAACAAUACAUAAUAAUAUGAGAGAUUCCUUUACAUCGAAACACUUUCAAAAUUUCUUUCUAAGACGGAUCUUGUAAAAUCUUGAAGUAAAACCACCUCAAAUAUAACCACUCUAUGUUAUGCUUAAAUGGACAUCUUCAUCUUAUUACAAAUUUGUAAUGCUUUUACUGACUUUGCAGAGUUAGACCUGAGCAUGUUGCAUGUCAUGAAAUUUAGAUAUCCUUCAUUUCAGAUGAAACUAUUUCAUGCCCCACUUGGUGGGUUGAAAUGUUGAUGAAAUCGGCUUCAUCUCGCCUGUUUUCUGCAUCAGCUAGUUCGACUCAUGCAGCUGAGUGGAAGACUUAAUGUCCUGUAACCGCGGGGCAACAUCAUGAUCUUUUUAAGCAUAUUGCUCCCAUUUCUCCAUCCACGGUCUCGGCUGAAAACAUCCAUUUUACAUAUCCUAAUUCUCCUCUCCAUCUCGGAUGAUAUUCAUGAAGUCCGGAUCGACUGCUGAUGUUUGCUAGACCGUGGCAUCUUCAUCUGGUCGAGGUCAUUUCCCCAGCGACAUGAUCUUCAGUGUGAGAUCGUCAGACGACGGAAAGAUGAAGAAAAAAAAAGAUGCAUGGCCCAAGGCCACGUCGAAUUUCGCACAUGCUCGGCCACAAAAUGAUGCAAAAAAAAGACAUGGAUUGACUGCUUUGUAGUUCAUGACCAAAUGUAAAUUAGAUGCUUUGGUUUGUCUUGGAAGGGGAGAUUAUAAUGAUUGAUGUUCUUGUUGAUGCAUUGAUGUUCUGGCCUUGAGCUUAUUAGGUUCAGAUAUUCAUGAUAUCUGUGUUUUAGUUGCAAAACACUCUUUUAAAGGUUGUAUAAAAGCUUAAACAUUUUUUAUACAAAUUGUUGACAAUGUGAUAUGUCCAAUGGGUUUUUAGUCAAUGCAGCAGUAACAUUUCCCCCAUGGCUGCCAUACGACAAGUAAAAAACAAUUGUUUUAUCUGAUUUUAUUCAAACCAUCCAUAUGCAGUUGGCACAAAAAUGUAAAAACUGCAGUUUUCAACAUGCUGAAGGGGUAAUGUGACUGCAGCGUUGCUGUAUAGUGGUGUUAGCAUUAUUAUUUAGCAUUUCUCUAUGAGUAUUAAAGGGCGUGAAAAUAAUUUCAUGAUAUUGGGAAUCUCAUUCUCAGUGCUAACAUGAAGAUUGGAAUUUGUCAAGGUGGUUGGUUAUGCUUCAUGUCUCAAGUUGGGAUAGACAUAAAAGCUAUUGAUAGGGGAGUGUUUCAUGAAGAAAAUUAAAUGUUUCUUUGACAAGUGUAACAUUAUAAGCUACUGAAAUCUUCUUCUUUUUUUUUGGUUGGCUUAAAACAUAUUUGUCAGUUUAAAAUCAAAUAUUAAUUUCUUUCAUGAAACUCUUCCCUGGUCUUAAGUCACAUGUCAAUUUCAAAUCUACUAAAACUUUGCUGUGAUAAAAGAGUUUACGAUACAAAGGUUGAAUUCCGAUUAGAUAUCACAUAUUAAUGCGUUGUACUAGAUUGUCACGGCGAUAAUUGAUUGGGAGGAAGUAAUUUGGAUGUUUACAUAGUUGAAAUCAAUUCAGGAAGUAAUUCACCAAAUUGAUAAUUGGCCGAAUUGGGAUGUGUGAUUGAAAUAAAUUGCUUCACCGUUGCCUGAUAUAUGCAGUAUGUUCAGUUCGUACCUUUCUUACAAUUGAAACUCUAUUUUCAAAAAUAUUUGCUUGGUUUUUCAUCUGUUUUUCAUAGGUUGUUUACUAAUAUGAACAUUUUUCAAAUGCAAGUAAGAAACGCUGACAAUUAACCACGAGCGUUAGAUCGUGCACACACUGCAAAUUGAUUUUUACAUUCUGGGUUAAUCUCACCACUUGGUGCUGUAUAACAGUGUAUCGUAGGGAAUGGUCGUGAGAUAGGUUGAAAAACAAUUUGUUCGGUCACUGACAUCUCAUCACAUACUUAUGAAUGGGUGGAUAUUUCUUAAUUACAUUUAUGUCUGAUGGUUCCUUCCCAAAUCCUGUAAGCCAUUGCCAUCCAAUGGAUGUGCGCGUCAGGGCUAUCAUUUUGUUGAAGGCAGGAUCUUAAAAUCCUUCGUUAAGUGUGUGCCCAUCCCCACGGAGCUGUCUCGAGGCUAAGUGAGCACCAAGAUGGAGACUUCUUGUCUAUCCCUGCAUCAUCGAACCCAGAGGGCAGUGCGGAUAGAAGAUGGGGUUAUAUCGUGAGUCACUUUCCGAGACACCCGUUCGACCAACCGUCUCUGCGAGGGAUACAAACUUAUUGAUUGGUCAUCUCUACUGUCUAUCUUUUUUCUUUUAGUUUCUAUGCAUUACUUGAUCAUUGGUUAUCUGUGUAGGACUAUCUGAUAACAUACCUCCAGGCUCCAGGUCCCAUCUAAUGUUCACUAUUGUGUGAUAUCCACCUCUUGCAUUUCAUUUAUUAUUUAGUGGUGUCAUUCACGCUUCUUGUUUUAUUCAGUUCUGUCUUUUAUAAUAAUAUCGAUAGUAAUUAGGUAUUGUGUAGCAAAUAUCACGUAUCUAACAUCAUUCUUUAUGCAUUUCCUCACUCCCGUCCCUCGAUAUUUUUCAUUUCAUUGAUUUAUUCACCUCACCUCUCAUCGGACACUCUGGACCCAGUAACAUCAAGCCAGGCAAUUGAUUCUGGGGCAGAUAGUUAUGAUUGAUCAUAUGCAAUUACUAAUGCAAUCAGUUGUAGAAAUGAUGCUGACAUUCUCAUGCUUCUUGUAACAGGGCCCUGAAUAAGAUAUGAUCAUCGUGAUGGGGGGGGGGGGGCAAGCCAUGAACAGAUGUUUGAGCAUUUGGUUUAUAACCCUGCAAAACUUCACCUAAACUUUUAGCCAUAAGAGAAAUAAACAAAUGAUAUUUUGAAAUUAAUUCAUCAUGAAUUGCGUUCAUAUAUUUGUUGCAUAGUACUCAUUGAAAAUUACCUUGGGCUUUGCUUGCAUCAAAUAGGCCAAUCAAAAAGCAGAUUAAAAAUGAAAUGUUUGAAAGAUGUCAUUCUGAGUGAACUUGGGAUUUAUCGACGUGGCGAGAGUGUACCCUGAGUAGCCAUGAUACUUUACGCCGUUUCAAGGGUAUUCUAGAGAAUACUGUUUCAAAUGUCAAUGUAUAUGAUUACGGGCUUCACAUUGACAAUAGGGAACACAGUCGCUCAUGUAAAGGACAGUAUCGAUGUAAACAACUUCAAGGAGGUGUUUGACCAUAUUUUGGCCCAAGAUUUCAUAUUGAAUAUUCCAGUGAUCACAAGAAAAAGGUGCAUUCACACGGCAAUGAACUGAUACAAUCAUUUGAAUCAUGGAGCAGUGGAGGGUAGAUUGUGUUGCAGUGGUGCUGCUAGCAUUGGUUGUCAUACUCACCAUUGGACAGUCAGCUGCAUGUAAGUUGACAACCAUCCCUUACAUUAAUCGUAUAUUUAAUCAACAUGGGUCAGUUUCACAAAACUCGUAUCAAAUCAAAUUUUCAUUAAUGGUUCAUCCAAAAGAAAAUGUGUAUUAUUUAUUACAAUACAGGGUUUAUACUUGUGGGUUUAUUAGAAAUCAGACUUUUUAAUGAGGGUUUAGGAUUCUACAAAAUCAAAUUUUCAACUACUAGCAGAUCUUCUGAGUGUAUGGUGUGUUUUGUGUUGAUUUGUAUGUAACAUACCUCUUAUUGUCUAGGUUUGAUUGAGAAUAUUGAAAGAUGAAUGGUUAUGUUCUAAAAUGUAGUCACUACAUAUAUAUCCAUAGCAUAUUCACAUAAGUAUGGAUCAUAUCCUUAUUUGAUAACAUAUGUGGCAGUUAUUUUGGGAAACAUUAGCUUGGGGGAAAAUGAAUUAAACACUUCAAUUCUUAUACACUUAAAUCUCUGAGUCACAGAUUCUGAUGCUUGGGGCCAUUUAGGAGCGAAACUUUUUUUUCAAGAACGUUGUAUUUUCAUUUCACCAUCGUUCAACACACGGUUCUUCUUCUACCGUGGACCACAAACACUCUCCCACACCUUCAAUCAAUGAAGCACCGCACCUCAACAUUUUGAAGAUUCUGAAUUUUGUUCUUCAGAGGCAGGCUGUCAAACAAUUAUGAGCUUGACUUCACACAUUUAGUAGAAGGACAAUUUGUCCUUUCACACCUUUUAGCGCCUUCAGACUAUACCAGGGGCUGUCAAUCAAUGGCCCGUUCCAUGUUACCCUCAAUAUUUCUCAUCGUUUGUUACCUUCGUUGUGCGUCUCCUGCCUGGCUCCUGUGCAAGAAGAACUGUGUGUUGACAAAGUUCUGGUGUAAGAACUGGAGUUGAAGUGAGCACAAACUGAACUUUGCCUGAAAAUUUUCAAGAAAGUGUUUUGAAACGAUUCAAAACCUCUUGGAUAUGUGAUCACUCUGAUGUCAUUGACAACAGUGAUGAUCCAGAAACUUUUGAUGAUGAUCAUGAUGGUGUUAUGGUACGGAUCAUGAUGAUGCGAAUGAUCAUGGUGGUGAUGAUAAUGGCAUCAACAGGUACGAUGAUGACGAUGACAACAGUGAUGAUGAUGAAACUGACAAUGAUUGCGAUAAUGAUGAAGAUUGACAUGAAGAUGAUCACUAUUUUCAUGAUGAUGCACACCUGAUGGUCAACUCAUCGAAAUCCUGAUUUAAUAUCGAUGUCAGUUUUACCCUAUGGUAUUGAAUGUUCCUUCACUUGCAUAGAUUGUCACUGGUCAAUAUUCAUUUUUCAUCCAGUGAGAAGUAGGCCUACUCGUCCAAUGUCUGAUCUCAAUACGAAGACCUACACACCAAGUACCUGAAGAUAUCUACAUGGACAAUUGCUCUCUCUCUCUAUGAUCCAUUUCCAAGUUUAUCAAUAACAUGCACACUGCAAUUAUCUAUCACUUUACCUUCUCUACCUUGCUAUGACAUCUCUCCACUUCCCACAGACCUUUAAAAUGUGACAAUUCAAUAAAUAUCAACUUUAGAAGCAGAUUUUCAUUCUUUUCAUCUCAAAACAUGGAAUGCUGGGAAAACUUUACCUCCUUGUUUCACAUCAAACCCAACCCCGGUGACCUCUCGAUCCACUCCCGAUGUUGAUUCUAGCCCAAAACACUCACUUUCAUAACAUUUUUAUUCCAAAUUUUUAAAUAAACAAAUUAGCACUCUUGACAAUUUCUGUGUCUUCUUCGCCCUUCUCCAGGUGUGUAAGAAUAAUAAGGGAGGACUAACUUUGAUAACUGGGCACUAGGUAGAAUAUUUUUCUUUCAGAUCCCUGCCGUAUUUGCUCUUAUUGUGUGUGUAUUUUCUUAGCCUUGAGACAGGGAGGUACUCCUAGAUACGACUUGAAACCCAUUUGAACUUGCGAUGAGGUAUAUGUUGAAUGUGCAUGUAUCAUGAAAUACACAUUUUUAUUUUGCCUCUUUGGUUAAUGUUUGUAUUUCUACAUAGAUUUAGUUGGAAGGUGAAAUGUAAAUAUACAAGAAAUGUCUUGUAGAUGUAGAGUUGUUCCCCUCUCUAGUCCUUUUUUUUCAUGUUUGGACUGUUUAAAAGUGGAUUCUGUGAUUUACCUGUACAUUGUACAUAGAUCACUAAAUUCCAAUAGGCUGUGGAUUGGGUUCACUACGAUCAUGUGUCUUGGUGGUGAUGUCAAGACUUUGCUUGUCCUUGUUCAUUAGAAACUCUAAAUUGUUCACUUAAUAACACACACCAGUAAUAUCCAGCUCAUAAAAUCAAGAGUCGGUCAUUACUAUUGACAGAUCACCUUUAUAUUUUCCAUUUAAUCCUGUUGUAAUUUUGCCCGACGCUGCUAACCAAUGCCGACUAUCACCUUACAAUUCUAGACAGAUGGGCAUGAGAUGCGUUUCAUUGUGACUCAAUUUGACAAAAUUAUGCGACAGAUUUUUCUCAUCCUCCCCCUGAUCAUCUCCAGCUGGGAAGGGGACUCUAUUACGCUGGAGAUGACACUGCUCAAUUAAUACCUUUCUGUCUUUUUUUCGACCCCGUUCUUUUUGUUCUAUCUAAUGCUGUUCUUCUCUGUCAGCAUUUGUUGUAUCACUUAGUUUGGUACACCUGGGUCAAGUUUGGGUUUCGUUGUUCACUUUUAUUUGUAAUCGCUUUCCCAUGGAAUAGAUUGCCUUGACACUUCUGAUUUCAUUCCAUUUGAUAUGCUUGCUACUAUGUUCCUAUUUCUUUAUAGGAAGUUGGUAGAAUGUUGGUAGUUCAGUUUGUUUCUGAACCUUUUUAUAAUGUAUUGAGAGUUUUCCGUUAUUUGCAAGUGCUGUAUUCCCAGUGAGCAAGAACUAAAUGCUAUAUACAUGUAUGAACACAGCAAGUUAAAGUUGACUGUAAGGAAAAAUGAUUUUAAAAAUUAUUCUGGAGUUAAAUUUCUCAUGUCAACGUAAACCUGACAGUUGAUUGUUAAACCUCUCACCUCAGAAUUUAGAUUACAUUUGGAAAUGUGGACUGAGCAUUAUAUGGUAUACCUAUAACUAGCCAUGUCUCUAACUUGCUGCUGAUUGAGGAUUAAAUCUAAAAUGUGUGAACGCAGCCAGUGAUAGUUGACCGAGAGAUAUCUUCUGGUGUUUGCAGAGGCAUCACUUGAGAGUGCUCACACCCAAAUACCAAACUCACGAGCUGACGCCAACUGUCAACACGACCCAUCCGAUCUCGUCCCAAGUUUCGUUCACCCCCUCCUUUCCAAGCGGGGCCGUUGAUCCAUUUGGAUAUCGCAGAUGGGGCCCUUUCUUAGGUUAAGAUAAUCAUGCCCUUCAUAGCUUCAUCUUGGUGUUAUGAGUGGAGCCCAUGGUAACAUCCAAAACAAAAGCAGAGAUAUCCGUUGUCAGGGGCAAGUGCCCUUGCAAAAGAUUGGGACUUCUUGCAACACCAUUGAAAGAUUUUGAUGACUAAAUUGGGAAAUUAACAUUUUGCUGGUUUCCCAGUACUGGGAAUUCGCUUGUUUGAGUUAUAUUUUAUUCUUAUAUGCAGUAAUCACAUCCUGAUGAUGGGUAGCAGAUACCUGUGUACCGGCCAGUUCUCAGGAUAUAAGCUUACAUGUGGCUUUUAACAUCCCCUUAUGCGUUGGGUCAUUAGGGUUGGUAAUGAUCUGUAAGUUUGACCAGGUGUGCUCUCUGAGUGCGUAGGCUGAGAACUGAAAGUAGAAACCAGUGCAGAGAGACGAGAGUUGAUAGGCCUUGCAAAAACAUCUAACUAGACCUAAUUCAUUGGCCCAUAAAGUCAAGGUAAAGGCCAUAGAACAAGGUAAAAUGGUUCCCCUUUCAUACUAACAUGUUUACACUUGGGAAUUCAUCUCAUCUUACUUAUGAAAUGAAUGAUAAAUAUGGUUUGAUAUGUUGUAAAAGAUAUUCCUCCAAGAAAUAAUGGAAGUGUCAAGGACUCUUUUUUCAAUGGGAGAUGUGGAGGGGGUGGGAUGGGUGUGAUAUGUUAGUUACUUUUACACUCUAAAUUCCAUGGAUUUAGAACAAAUUCAGAUCAGCUGCGAAUAGUGACCAGCUGAAUUUUGAAUUUAUUUUAAACCUUAAGGAUUAACUUUUAAAUCUCAAAAAAUUUAAAUUCAAAUCUUGUAGAUU
rnacentral:lncRNA from 1 species